rnacentral:rRNA from 1 species
UACAGAGGGUGCGAGCGUUAAUCGGAAUUACUGGGCGUAAAGCGCGCGUAGGUGGUUUGUUAAGUUGAAUGUGAAAUCCCCGGGCUCAACCUGGGAACUGCAUCCAAAACUGGCAAGCUAGAGUAGGGCAGAGGGUGGUGGAAUUUCCUGUGUAGCGGUGAAAUGCGUAGAUAUAGGAAGGAACACCAGUGGCGAAGGCGACCACCUGGGCUCAUACUGACACUGAGGUGCGAAAGCGUGGGGAGCAAACAGG